GAUGAAGAACGUAGCGAAAUGCGAUAAGUAGUGUGAAUUGCAGAAUUCAGUGAAUCAUCGAAUCUUUGAACGCACAUUGCGCCCCUUGGUAUCCCGAGGGGCAUGCCUGUUCGAGCGUCAUUUCACCACUCAAGCCUGGCUUGGUGUUGGGCGACGGCCUCUUUGGGGACGCGCCUCGAAACGCUCGGCGGCGUGGCACCGGCUUUAAGCGUAGCAGAAUCUUUCGCUUUGGAAGUCGGGGCCCCGUCUGCCGGAAGACCUGCUCGCAAGGUUGACCUCGGAUCAGGCAGGGAUACCCGCUGAACUUAAGCAUAUCAAUAAGCGGAGGA
rnacentral:misc_RNA from 1 species